rnacentral:lncRNA from 1 species
GAUAUCUCGCUGCCCUGCCGCUCUCCAUCCUAAUCGACUCCCCUCGGUCUUCCCCAACUUCGGCCCCGGCAACAGGUCCCCUUCAUCUCCCUUUCCUCUCCUCUGGUGUGCGUGGUUUCCUUGUACGAGUAGACGAGUUAUUAGUACUAGAAUUUCAUCAGAUCUAAAGUUGGGUGCAUAUGCUACAAAUUCUUAAUCUAAGAAGAAUGUUCAGGCAUUGUGUGCAUGUUUGCGCUGAGGACACAAAUUUGGGGGUCCAGCUCCUUGUGUGAAUGUGCAAGGAAUUCGGAACUUGCAUCUUUAAUAUGACAUGGUAUAUUUAUUCUUAAUCUCUCCAUUACGUUUUGUGUUCCAUUUUUCUCGAUGGAAGUAAUUGUGGUUUACUUUCACAUGGUUUUUAAACAAAUAAACCAUGAUGUGCUGAAUAGCUGACAUGCAGAGGAAAUGGUACAGCUUGAUGACUAUUUUACUACUAAAUUAUUCUCAAGUAUUUAUUGUUCCUUUUGUGAUAGUUUUCUCUCUCCUAAAAAUAAAAUGAAUAAUUUUUAAUUCUUUGAACAAGUUUGCCUAAAUUAGGGCGCUCAGUCAUUGAGGCAUUAUCAAUUUCUUUUAGAAGCUUCGCAAAAUCCGCUCUUGUACUAAAGAAAUCUAAUGUAGAUUUGUUAGCCUUAUAGGGUACUAUAUGGUGAACACAUGAUAUUAAAUAUACAGUAAAUUGCACUGUGAAGUGAGUAUGUAUAUACUAUCCACACAGGAUUGCCAUUUUGGAGAUGUUGCUGGGAUCAUCAUGGAUUGGGAUGCAUUCUGAUAAUAAGAUAUUAGGUAUUGAUAUGUGAUAUGUAUGUCACACUUGACUUCAUCAUCCUUUGUUUUUAGAUGUAUUCUUUAGGCAUACAUUAAUGUGGUAGCUUGGUCAUAUUCUGUAGCUAAUUUAGUCACCAAAUACUCGGAUUUUUUCCCGACUCCCAUUAUAAAGAACUUCCACUUGCCAUCUCUAUAUGGAUUUUCUUUUUGCUACCGAUUUUGGCUAAAGGUUUUUCGGCUCUCAUCUCUAUAUGGAUAUGCUUUUUUCAGGUUAGUAGUUUAGGAGUUCCUGCCAACACUAGUUUUUGGAAGUUAUACUCCCUUCACCAGUUGGGCUUAACAAGGACAUAAUUAAUUCGCUGUUGGUAAUUAGAAGGGAAAAAAAUCUGGUUGGAGAAAACUUCUCUUUUUCUUAAUUGUUUGCUUCAUAAUUUUAGUAAUCUUUUUUUCAUUUUUUUUCAGGUUAGUAGUAUGGGAGUACCUGUCAAGACUGACUUUUGGAAGUUAUGCUAGCCUCAUCAGUUGGGCUUUCUAUACAAAACUAGACUCAAUAUAAUUUAUUUUGGUGCUUGCGAUGAGUAUUAGACAGAGGGGUGAUGACCACAUAGUUCACACAGUGUAUCUGUUCAUGUAUGUCAUUAAUUAUCUAAUUAGACAAAACAACUCUCUCUGUAUGGUGUUUGUGAUGAUGCUGUCAAUUCACUAAACACUAAAAUACCAGGUUGUGAUUUUCAAAUCUAGCAAAUUAAUUUUCUCUAUUGCUUCUUUUCCAGGCAGAAGUUUUAGUCUAUUCUGUUCCAUGAGUCUUACUGUCAAAAAAAAAUAUGGUAGCAUCAGAAGUUGUCCCCAUCAGAUAGAACACUGCCUAAUAGAUUCAUUCUAUUACUGUAUAGCCAUGGUGACAAAAAUAUUCAGAUAACAAGAAACAAUUCUGUCAAAUAUUCUCAGCGGAGAUACUGUUGCGGUCUAUAAGUAAAAAAAUGUUAAUUAUUUAAUUAAACAGAAAACUAUGUUAUUUAUACCAACAGAUGCUAAACAAUCAGACUACCUGACACAAAAGUAUAUAUAUACAUUAGUUAAAUUUCAUUCCAAAAAUAGAUGAUGUAGUGGUAGAUGUUAAUCGUACAAGAACACGAGGAUGACAAACAUAAAUUAAUCACAUAUAUUAUCAUCACAGGUCGAUCUAACUGGUGGUAGUUAUUCUUUGCACUGAAAACAAAGUGGAAUCAAACGAUUCAAACAACCAAAAAGAAGGAAACAAAGGAUGCUUACGGAUCUGAAUGAGUUAGGGCGCUCCACUACUUGCAAGUAGAUCCAGCGACUCAGUGGCAGAGCUACUCUCGGCGACGCCAGGAAGCCACCCUGGUUCUACCCGAAAGUCAUCACUGAAAUUACAACAAGAAAUAUGAAGUAAUUAGUAUUUUUUCCAUGGACAUAUGACCGCCGGCCAGUUGCCUUUGUGCUCAUGCCGGUGUUGUACCAAUGAAUUGACUCCAUCACUGUAGCGACCUGGAAGAACAUCAACUGUUUGUGGAGUUGGGAAUUUCUUCUCCGAGGAGAGAAAUGUUUAGUACGUCUCCAAAUCACUCCACUGUCCUGCCGGACAAAGAUGAGUUUAAUAUGGCCCGUCGACACAGAGAAGGCCUGCUAUCACAUACCGCUUAUUGGGCUGUAACAUUAGUCUCAUUCCAACGCCACAUAUCCAACAAAGAAGCUUAUACCAAAGAGAGAGCUACAAAUUGGAUGAUUGAUCCCUAUGAAAUUGAUGUUACACAUAUUUUAUUUCAAAAAGGGGAUUACCCGGGCCUCUGCAUCAAAUGAUGCACACAUUCAUAUUAUUAAACAUAAAUCAAGUUCCAAACACGGAGUUCCAGACUUAUUUCAUCAAGUAGUUUUCUUGUAUUUGAACUCAAUUCCUUCAAUUUCUCUCAGCCGUGAGCUUAUAUCAGCGGUGAGCUCAUCUACAUUCUGCGUUGUGAACUCAUUUAGUUUUAUCUAUGAACUCAUUAGGUGAACUCAUCACGGUUUUUUGGCAGAUGUGAACUUAUUUCAUAUUCAUCUAUGAAUCAUUGUUGAAGUGUCU